rnacentral:rRNA from 1 species
AUUGAACGCUGGCGGCAGGCCUAACACAUGCAAGUCGAACGAGUGGCGGACGGGUGAGUAAUGUAUGGAAACGUGCCUAAUGGAGGGGGAAAACUCCUGAAACGGUUGGUUAAUCCGGCUUCAAUAGGAUUGGCCGAGAUGGGAUUAGCUAGUUGGUGGGGUAAGGGCUCACCAAGGCGACGAUCCCUAGCGGGUCUGAGAGGAUGACCAGCCACACUGGAACUGAGACACGGUCCAGACUCCUACGGGAGGCAGCAGUGGGGAAUAUUGCACAAUGGGCGCAAGCCUGAUGCAGCCAUGCCGCGUGUAUGAAGAAGGCCUUCGGGUUGUAAAGUACUUUCAGCGGGGAGGCGUUACCCGCAGAAGAAGCACCGGCUAACUCCGUGCCAGCAGCCGCGGUAAUUC